rnacentral:ncRNA from 1 species
AUCAAAGAAGGUCUUUCAAAAAAUCUUUGAAAGUGAAAAGAGAAGACGGUGCAAAUCCGUCACGGUCCCGCCGCUGUAAGGCUGAGCCCUCCUCACGAUGUCACUGGGAAACCGGGAAGACGAGGACAGGCGAGGACGCCGAGCCAGAAGAACUGCCCUCUUUGA